AGAGUUUGAUCCUGGCUCAGAAUCAACGCUGGCGGCGUGCCUAACACAUGCAAGUCGAGCGAGAAAAGGGGAGCAAUCCUCUGAGUACAGCGGCGCACGGGUGAGUAACACGUGGGUAAUCUGCCCUGGAGUGGGGAAUAACACCGGGAAACCGGUGCUAAUACCGCAUACGAUCGCAAGGUCUGCGGACUUUGUGAUGAAAGGAGCAAUUCGCUCCAGGAGGAGCCCGCGGCUGAUUAGCUAGUUGGUGAGGUAAUGGCUCACCAAGGCAACGAUCAGUAGCCGGUCUGAGAGGACGGUCGGCCACACUGGAACUGAGACACGGUCCAGACUCCUACGGGAGGCAGCAGGGGGGAAUUUUUGGCAAUGGGGGAAACCCUGACCAAGCAACGCCGCGUGGGUGAUGAAGUCUCUUGGGACGUAAAACCCUUUCGACGGGGAAGAAACCGCAAGGUUGACGGUACCCGUAGAAGAAGCCCCGGCUAACUCCGUGCCAGCAGCCGCGGUAAUACGGGGGGGGCAAGCGUUGUUCGGAAUUACUGGGCGUAAAGGGCGCGUAGGCGGUUCGUUAAGUCGAAUGUGAAAACUCUGGGCUCAACCCAGAGCCUGCAUCCGAAACUGGCGAGCUAGAGUUCUGGAGGGGGUAGCGGAAUUCCUGGUGUAGCGGUGAAAUGCGUAGAUAUCAGGAGGAACACCGGUGGCGAAGGCGGCUACCUGGACAGAAACUGACGCUGAGGCGCGAAAGCUAGGGGAGCAAACAGGAUUAGAUACCCCCGUAGUCC
rnacentral:rRNA from 1 species